GGUGCCGUCGCUUUGUUGGUUAAAGCGCCUGUCUAGUAAACCGGAGAUCACGAGUUCGAAACGCUUCAGUGCCU
rnacentral:tRNA from 1 species